rnacentral:rRNA from 1 species
GAGUUUGAUCAUGGCUCAGAUUGAACGCUGGCGGCAGGCCUAACACAUGCAAGUCGAACGGUAACAGGAAGCAGCUUGCUGCUUCGCUGACGAGUGGCGGACGGGUGAGUAAUGUCUGGGAAGCUGCCUGAUGGAGGGGGAUAACUACUGGAAACGGUAGCUAAUACCGCAUAAUGUCGCAAGACCAAAGAGGGGGACCUUCGGGCCUCUUGCCAUCGGAUGUGCCCAGAUGGGAUUAGCUUGUUGGUGGGGUAACGGCUCACCAAGGCGACGAUCCCUAGCUGGUCUGAGAGGAUGACCAGCCACACUGGAACUGAGACACGGUCCAGACUCCUACGGGAGGCAGCAGUGGGGAAUAUUGCACAAUGGGCGCAAGCCUGAUGCAGCCAUGCCGCGUGUAUGAAGAAGGCCUUCGGGUUGUAAAGUACUUUCAGCGGGGAGGAAGGGAGUAAAGUUAAUACCUUUGCUCAUUGACGUUACCCGCAGAAGAAGCACCGGCUAACUCCGUGCCAGCAGCCGCGGUAAUACGGAGGGUGCAAGCGUUAAUCGGAAUUACUGGGCGUAAAGCGCACGCAGGCGGUUUGUUAAGUCAGAUGUGAAAUCCCCGGGCUCAACCUGGGAACUGCAUCUGAUACUGGCAAGCUUGAGUCUCGUAGAGGGGGGUAGAAUUCCAGGUGUAGCGGUGAAAUGCGUAGAGAUCUGGAGGAAUACCGGUGGCGAAGGCGGCCCCCUGGACGAAGACUGACGCUCAGGUGCGAAAGCGUGGGGAGCAAACAGGAUUAGAUACCCUGGUAGUCCACGCCGUAAACGAUGUCGACUUGGAGGUUGUGCCCUUGAGGCGUGGCUUCCGGAGCUAACGCGUUAAGUCGACCGCCUGGGGAGUACGGCCGCAAGGUUAAAACUCAAAUGAAUUGACGGGGGCCCGCACAAGCGGUGGAGCAUGUGGUUUAAUUCGAUGCAACGCGAAGAACCUUACCUGGUCUUGACAUCCACGGAAGUUUUCAGAGAUGAGAAUGUGCCUUCGGGAACCGUGAGACAGGUGCUGCAUGGCUGUCGUCAGCUCGUGUUGUGAAAUGUUGGGUUAAGUCCCGCAACGAGCGCAACCCUUAUCCUUUGUUGCCAGCGGUCCGGCCGGGAACUCAAAGGAGACUGCCAGUGAUAAACUGGAGGAAGGUGGGGAUGACGUCAAGUCAUCAUGGCCCUUACGACCAGGGCUACACACGUGCUACAAUGGCGCAUACAAAGAGAAGCGACCUCGCGAGAGCAAGCGGACCUCAUAAAGUGCGUCGUAGUCCGGAUUGGAGUCUGCAACUCGACUCCAUGAAGUCGGAAUCGCUAGUAAUCGUGGAUCAGAAUGCCACGGUGAAUACGUUCCCGGGCCUUGUACACACCGCCCGUCACACCAUGGGAGUGGGUUGCAAAAGAAGUAGGUAGCUUAACCUUCGGGAGGGCGCUUACCACUUUGUGAUUCAUGACUGGGGUGAAGUCGAAACAAGGUA